GUGGGGAAUAUUGCACAAUGGGCGAAAGCCUGAUGCAGCGACGCCGCGUGAGGGAUGACGGCCUUCGGGUUGUAAACCUCUUUCAGCAGGGAAGAAGCUUAAUCGUGACGGUACCUGCAGAAGAAGCACCGGCUAACUACGUGCCAGCAGCCGCGGUAAUACGUAGGGUGCGAGCGUUGUCCGGAAUUAUUGGGCGUAAAGAGCUUGUAGGCGGUUUGUCGCGUCUGCUGUGAAAACUCGGGGCUUAACCCCGAGCCUGCAGUGGGUACGGGCAGACUAGAGUAUGGUAGGGGAGACUGGAAUUCCUGGUGUAGCGGUGGAAUGCGCAGAUAUCAGGAGGAACACCGAUGGCGAAGGCAGGUCUCUGGGCCAUAACUGACGCUGAGAAGCGAAAGCAUGGGGAGCGAACAGGAUUAGAUACCCUGGUAGUCCAUGCCGUAAACGUUGGGCGCUAGGUGUGGGGCUCAUUCCACGAGUUCCGUGCCGCAGCUAACGCAUUAAGCGCCCCGCCUGGGGAGUACGGCCGCAAGGCUAAACUCAAAGGAAUUGACGGGGGCCCGCACAAGCGGCGGAGCAUGCUGAUU
rnacentral:rRNA from 1 species